AUUAAACAGCAUGUCAAGCAAAAAGGCAAAAAGACCACCAAGAAGUUUGCCAUGUUUGACCAGUCACAGAUUCAGGAGUUCAAAGAGGCCUUCAACAUGAUUGAUCAGAACAGAGAUGGUUUCAUUGACAAGGAAGAUUUGCAUGAUAUGCUUGCCUCCCUAGGGAAGAAUCCCGCUGAAUGCAUACCUUGAAGUCAUGAUGAAUGAGGCUCCAGGCCCCAUCAAUUUCAUCAUGUUCCUCACCAUGUUUGGUGAGAAGUUAAAUGGCACAGAUCCAGAAGAUGUCAUCAGAAAUGUUUUUGCCUGCUUUGGUGAAGAAGCAACAGGAACCAUUCAGGAAGAUUACCUGAGAGAGCUGCUGACAACCAUGGGAGAUGGGUUUACAGAUGAGGAAGUGAAUGAGCUGUAUAGAGAAGCACCUAUUGACAAAAAGGGGAAUUUUAAUUACAUUGAGUUCACGUGCAUCCUUAAACAUGGAGCAAAAGACAAAGAAGGAAGUCUAGCUGAAACCUUCCAUUUGCAUUGUUCUGCUCUUUCACUUCUCAGACAUUUCCCCCACCCUCAUAGAAUCUUCUGCAUGCAACUUAGUUUCACAGCUUUGCCUUUUUUUUUUUUUUUUGAAGUAUUUAUUCCAAAUCUUUCUGCCACUUAGCACUUGUAUAAUCAGACUGGAAAUGGGGACAAGGUUGUAAAUUGUAUUGAAAAGAGAUUGAGAUUGAGAAUAAAAAUCAACGAAUGUGAAAGCCC